GCCCGCUGGGCUGGGCUGGGCUGGGCUGGGGGGGUGAGGGGGGCA
rnacentral:miRNA from 1 species